AGGGAAUCUUCCGCAAUGGGCGAAAGCCUGACGGAGCAACGCCGCGUGAGUGAUGAAGGUUUUCGGAUCGUAAAGCUCUGUUGCCAGGGAAGAACGUCGGAUAGAGUAACUGCUAUCCGAGUGACGGUACCUGAGAAGAAAGCCCCGGCUAACUACGUGCCAGCAGCCGCGGUAAUACGUAGGGGGCAAGCGUUGUCCGGAAUUAUUGGGCGUAAAGCGCGCGCAGGCGGCCAUUUAAGUCUGGUGGUUAAUCACGGGGCUCAACCCCGGGUCGCAUCGGAAACUGGGUGGCUGGAGUGCAGAAGAGGAAAGUGGAAUUCCACGUGUAGCGGUGAAAUGCGUAGAGAUGUGGAGGAACACCAGUGGCGAAGGCGACUUUCUGGGCUGUAACUGACGCUGAGGCGCGAAAGCGUGGGGAGCAAAC
rnacentral:rRNA from 1 species